GGAUUUGAAAGUGUUUGAUGACUCAAAGACAGAAGUUGAUGAGCAGGUUUUUGAUCUCCUGUUGAAAAACCCAAACCUUGGUGUGUUGGAAAUUUGUCUGGCCGAAGAUUCAAAUCCAGAAGGAUAGUGUGGGGAACAAAACACGGGCAAAUAAGUGAGUUUUUUAUCCUAUUGCUGUCUUAGACAAGAUAAUAAAUCUGCCAAACUGUUAAGUCGAUCAGCCGAGUCGUCCUGCAAAGAGCUGCAAUACCAGUUCAAGUGGAGAUACUGAAGUGGAUUCAGAUGACACAAUACUAUUACAACACAGUCCUACAACAAGACGAAGAGUUGAAGACGCCUCUCUGGCCAAAGUGGUUGCUGUCAUUGGUGAGGAUGCAUCAUCCGUUGAAGGUCAUGUGAAUGUCCUGCAUAUCCAGUACAGCAAGGUGCGAGAGGAUAUACUAAAGAAGUACCCUUUCUUGAAGACAACCUCAGGGUUGUUUGAUGUUGACCGAAUGCAUCCAUCACCUGUCAGUUUAAGCCAGC